UACGUAGGGGGCAAGCGUUGUCCGGAAUCAUUGGGCGUAAAGCGCGUGUAGGCGGUUACGUGAGUCUGCUGUGAAAGUCGGAGGCUCAACCUUCGAAAGCCGGUGGAUACUGUGUGACUAGAGUUCGGAAGAGGAGAGUGGAAUUCCUGGUGUAGCGGUGAAAUGCGCAGAUAUCAGGAGGAACACCAACGGCGAAGGCAGCUCUCUGGGACGAUACUGACGCUGAGACGCGAAAGCGUGGGGAGCAAACAGG
rnacentral:rRNA from 1 species